AUGAGAGAUACAUCAGUCCAUACUUCCGAAUACCCGUGUCCAGGUCGCGCAUGUGGGCUCGGCGGGGGUACACACCUGACGCAAAAGGGAACUUUUGCGCAGAGCGUGCAGUGCGGGCCCUUUUCUUUACCUUGCGGGGCCUGGUACUGUCGUACCAAGUUGGAGUUUGUCCUGCAUCUCACACCGCUUCUCUUUUCCGAUUUGGGGCUGGAGGUUCGUCUGGAUCUGUCCAUGGCGACUCCCACAGCGACGACACCGGCGUUGGCCUCUGGAUCGAUGGGGGCGGCAAGCGAUUCCGUGGUGCGCGGCGUGCAUUUCGUUUCCGGUCCCGCCGUGGCCGACUCUGCAGUAGGCGUAGAGUCGCGGGAGACACUACCGGUGUAUGAGGUCCCGCCGGCUCGCGGCCUGGUUGGCGACCUGUCUGAUGUCGAGCUGUCCGACGGGUCCUGCACGACGGGGGCGGCGCCGGCUGGCGGAGGUGUGGCGUCGGCAGGCGCCGGUGACGGGGCGCGCGCCGUCGACUCGCGCAGCGCAGUUCAGUCAUUCAGCCCCAGUGCUCCGGCGGCGGCGAGCACCACUAUCCGCGUUGGCUGGAAGCGCAGGUAG
rnacentral:rRNA from 1 species